GGCACUGGUGCUUAUGACAUCACCACUGCUACAGUCACCACAACGCAGGCCUCUUAUGCAGCUCAGUCUGCAUAUGGCACCCAGCCUGCCUACCCCACCUAUGGCUAGCAGCCAACAGCCACUGCACCUACCAGACCACAGGAUGGUAACAAGCCUGCUGAGACUAGUCAACUUCAAUCUAGCACAGGGGGUUAUAAUCAACCCAGCCUCGGAUAUGGACAGAGUAACUACAGUUAUCCCCAGGUACCUGGGAGCUACCCGAUGCAGCCAGUCACCGCACCUCCAUCUUAUCCUACCAGCUACUCCUCUUCACCGCCGACUAGUUACGAUCAGAGCAGUUACUCUCAGCAGAGCACCUGUGGGCAGCCGAGCAGCUAUGGACAGCAGAGUAGCUAUGGUCAACAAAUCAGCUAUGGGCAGCAGCCUCCUACUAGUUACCCCCCUCAGACUGGAUCCUACAGCCAGGCUCCAAGUCCAUAUAGCCAGCAGAGCAGCAGCUACGGGCAGCAGCGUUCAUUCCGACAGGACCACCCCACCAGUAGCAUGGGUGUUUAUGGGCAGGAGUCUGGAGGAUUUGCCGGACCAGGAGAGAACCGGAGCUUGAGUGGCCCUGAUAACGGGGGCAGGAGAAGAAGGGGCUUUGAUCGUGGAAGCAUGAGCAGAGGUGGGCGGGGAGGAGGACGCGGUGGAACGGGCAGCGCUGGAGAGCGAGGUGGACCCAUGGAUGAAGGACCAGAUCUUGAGCUAGGCCUUCCUAUAGAUCCCGAUGAAGACUCUGACAACAGUGCAAUUUAUGUGCAAGGAUUAAAUGACAAUGUGACCCUGGAUGAUCCGGCAGACUUCUUUAAGCAGUGUGGGGUUGUCAAGAUGAACAAGAGAACUGGACAACCCAUGAUCCAUAUCUACCUGGAUAAGGAGACGGGAAAGCCUAAAGGUGAUGCCACAGUGUCCUAUGAAGAUCGACCAACUGCCAAGGCUGCCAUGGAAUGGUUUGAUGGGAAAGAUUUUCAAGGAAGCAAACUUGAAGUUUCUCUUGCCCGAAAGAAGCCUCCAGUGAACAGCAUGCGGGAUGGCAUGCCACCUCGUGAGGGCAGAGGGAUGCCACCACCACUUCGUGGAGGUCCGGGUGGCCCAGGAGGUCCUGGGGGACCCAUGGGUUGCAUGGGAGGCCGGAGGAGACAGAGGCUUCCCUCCAAGAGGCCCCGAGGUUCCAGAGGAAACCCCUCUGGAAGAGGAAAUGUCCAGCACCGAGCUGGAGACUGGCAGUGUCUCCCAAUCCGGGCUGUGGAAACCAGAACUUCGCUUGGAGAACAGAAUGCAACCAGUGUAUAAGGCUUCCUCCCGCCACCCUUUCCACCUCCAGGUGGUGAUCGUGGACGAGGUGGCCCAGGUGGCAUGCGAGGAGGAAGAGGUGGACUCAUGGACCGUGGAGGUCCUGGAGGAAUGUUCAGAGGUGGCAGAGGUGAAGACAGAGGAGGCUUCCAAGGUGGCCGUGGAAUGGACUGAGGUGGCUUUGGUGGAGGAAGAUGACGUGGUCCUGGGGGGGGGCCUCCUGGACCUUUAAUGGAACAGACCGGAGGAAGAAGAGGCGGACGUGGAGGACCUGGGAAAAUGGAUAAAGGCGAGCACCAUCAGGAACACAGAGACCGGCCCUACUAGAGACCUACAGAGCUGCUUUGACGACCAGAUUUACUUUUUAAACCAGAAAAUGUUUUAAAUUUAUAAUUCCAUAUUUAUAAUGUUGGCAACAACAUUAUGAUUAUUCCUUGUCUGUACUUUAGUAUUUUCAC